CGAUUAGGGGAAGGCCUACAAUGGCAAGUCGAGCGGAUGACGGGAGCUUGCUCCUUGAUUCAGCGGCGGACGGGUGAGUAAUGCCUAGGAAUCUGCCUGGUAGUGGGGGACAACGUUUCGAAAGGAACGCUAAUACCGCAUACGUCCUACGGGAGAAAGCAGGGGACCUUCGGGCCUUGCGCUAUCAGAUGAGCCUAGGUCGGAUUAGCUAGUUGGUGAGGUAAUGGCUCACCAAGGCGACGAUCCGUAACUGGUCUGAGAGGAUGAUCAGUCACACUGGAACUGAGACACGGUCCAGACUCCUACGGGAGGCAGCAGUGGGGAAUAUUGGACAAUGGGCGAAAGCCUGAUCCAGCCAUGCCGCGUGUGUGAAGAAGGUCUUCGGAUUGUAAAGCACUUUAAGUUGGGAGGAAGGGCAGUAAGUUAAUACCUUGCUGUUUUGACGUUACCGACAGAAUAAGCACCGGCUAACUCUGUGCCAGCAGCCGCGGUAAUACAGAGGGUGCAAGCGUUAAUCGGAAUUACUGGGCGUAAAGCGCGCGUAGGUGGUUCGUUAAGUUGGAUGUGAAAGCCCCGGGCUCAACCUGGGAACUGCAUCCAAAACUGGCGAGCUAGAGUACGGUAGAGGGUGGUGGAAUUUCCUGUGUAGCGGUGAAAUGCGUAGAUAUAUGUAGGGAACACGCGUGGGCUACCGGGGAGUCCCUGCCGUGUUUCUCUC
rnacentral:rRNA from 1 species